rnacentral:rRNA from 1 species
CCUCAAAUCAGGUAGGACUACCCGCUGAACUUAAGCAUAUCAAUAAGCGGAGGAAAAGAAACUAACAAGGAUUCCCCUAGUAACUGCGAGUGAAGCGGGAAAAGCUCAAAUUUAAAAUCUGGCGGCUUUGUCGUCCGAGUUGUAAUUUAGAGAAGUGUUACCCGUGUUGGACCGUGUACCAGUUCCCUGGAAUGGGGCGUCAUAGAGGGUGAGAAUCCCGUCUCUGACACGGACUCCCAAUGCAUUGUGGUGCGCUCUCGAAGAGUCGAGUUGUUUGGGAAUGCAGCUCAAAAUGGGUGGUAAAUUCCAUCUAAAGCUAAAUAUUGGGGAGAGACCGAUAGCGAACAAGUACCGUGAGGGAAAGAUGAAAAGAACUUUGGAAAGAGAGUUAAACAGUACGUGAAAUUGCUGAAAGGGAAACGCUUGAAGUCAGUCGCGUUGUGCGGGACUCAGCCUUGCUUUUGCAUGGUGUACUUCCUGUACGACGGGUCAACAUCAGUUUUGACCGGUGGAUAAGGAUGUAGGGAAUGUGGCAUCCUCGGAUGUGUUAUAGCCCUAUGUCGCAUACAUCGGUUGGGACUGAGGAACUCAGCGCGCCGCCAAGGCCGGGAUUUAUCCACGUUCGCGCUUAGGAUGUUGGCAUAUA